CGUGUGUGUGUGUGUGUGAAUAAAACGACCGUGUGUGUGUGUGUGUGAACAAAACGACCGUGUGUGUGUGUGUGUGUGAACAAAACGACCGUGUGUGUGUGUGUGUGUGAACAAAACGACCGUGUGUGUGUGUGUGAACAAAACGACCGUGUGUGUGUGUGAACAAAACGACCGUGUGUGUGUGUGUGUGUGAACAAAACGACCGUGUGUGUGUGUGUGAACAAAACGACCGUGUGUGUGUGUGUGUGUGAACAAAACGACCGUGUGUGUGUGUGUGAACAAAACGACCGUGUGUGUGUGUGUGUGUGAACAAAACGACCGUGUGUGUGUGUGUGAACAAAACGACUCGUGUGUGUGUGUGAACAAAACGACCGUGUGUGUGUGUGUGUGAACAAAACGACCAUGUGUGUGUGUGUGAACAAAACGACCGUGUGUGUGUGUGUGUGAACAAAACGACCGUGUGUGUGUGUGUGUGAACAAAACGACCGUGUGUGUGUGUGUGUGUGUGAACAAAACGACCGUGUGUGUGUGUGUGUGAACAAAACGACCGUGUGUGUGUGUGUGUGUGAACAAAACGACCGUGUGUGUGUGUGUGUGUGUGUGUGUGUGUGAACAAAACGACCGUGUGUGUGUAACAAAAGCGACCGUGUGUGUGUGUGUGAGAACAAAACGACCGUGUGUGUGUGUGAACAAAACGACCGUGUGUGUGUGUGAGAACAAAAGGACCGUGUGUGUGUGUGUGAGAACAAAACGACCGUGUGUGUGUGUGAGAACAAAACGACCGUGUGUGUGUGUGAGAACAAAAGGACCGUGUGUGUGUGUGUGAGAACAAAACGACCGACCGUGUGUGUGUGUGUGAGAACAAAAGGACCGUGUGUGUGUGUGUGUGUGAGAACAAAAGGACCGUGUGUGUGUGUGUGUGUGAGAACAAAAGGACCGUGUGUGUGUGUGUGAGAACAAAAGGACCGUGUGUGUGUGUGAGAACAAAAGGACCGUCUGUGUGUGUGAGAACAAAAGGAACGUGUGUGUGUGUGAGAACAAAACGACCGUGUGUGUGUGUGUGUGUGUGUGUGAGAACAAAACGACUGUGUGUGUGUGUGUGUGUGAACAAAACGACUGUGUGUGUGAACAGAACGACCGUGUCUGUGUGUGUGAACAGAACGACCGUGUGUGUCGACCUGUGUGUGUGUGUGUGAACAAAACGACCGUGUGUGUGUGUGGGAACAAA
rnacentral:lncRNA from 1 species